rnacentral:rRNA from 1 species
UACGUAGGGAGCAAGCGUUGUCCGGAAUCAUUGGGCGUAAAGCGCGCGUAGGUGGCUUCGUAAGUCCGUUGUGAAAGUCAAAGGCUCAACCUUUGAAAGCCGAUGGAUACUGCGGAGCUAGAGUACGGAAGAGGCGAGUGGAAUUCCUGGUGUAGUGGUGGAAUGCGCAGAUAUCAGGAGGAAGACCGGUGGCGAAGGCGGUCUGCUGGGCAGUUUCUGACACUGAUGCGCGACAGCGUGGGGAGCAAACAGG